rnacentral:misc_RNA from 1 species
ACAUGUGCUCGCUCUCCGCUCUCUCGUAAACAAUAACAUUAAAUAAUCAUGUUAAAUUUAAAUGUAUUCGGAAUUGCUAGUAGUAUAACUAAUAGAUGUGUAAAGUCAUUGACGUGCUCGGGUAUUUAUUGUAUUAGGAACUUGUCAUCACAUGAUAAUCCUCUGGGAAUUCAUAGCACUGAUAAAAGAAGGGCAACGCCCCUGAAAGAGAAGGGCUUACCAAAGAAAUGGCCAAUUCCUGGAGUCAAGCAAAUUAUCUUAGUAGCUUCUGGGAAAGGCGGAGUUGGUAAAUCAACAACUGCUGUCAAUCUUGCUCUUGGUAUUGCUGCAAAUAACAAGGCUUUGUCUGUAGGUCUGUUGGAUGCUGACAUUUACGGUCCAUCAAUUCCUAGAAUGAUGAAUUUAAGUGGUCAGCAGCCUGAGUUAACACACAAAAAUCUGAUGAAACCAGUGACUAACUUUGGAAUAUCUUGUAUGUCAAUGGGAUUCUUAGUGGAUGAGACAUCACCUAUUGUGUGGCGAGGUCUAAUGGUGAUGUCUGCUGUUGAAAAGCUCAUCAGGCAGGUGUCAUGGGGACCAUUGGAUUAUUUAGUUGUGGACAUGCCACCUGGUACAGGUGAUACUCAGCUGUCAAUAUCACAGCUCAUACCUGUCGAUGGUUCAGUGAUUGUGAGCACCCCACAAGAUAUUGCUUUAAUGGAUGCCAGACGAGGAGCAGAAAUGUUCAAGAAAGUCAAUAUACCAGUACUAGGUCUAGUGCAGAACAUGAGUGUAUUCAACUGUCCCAAGUGUGGGCACAACACUCAUAUAUUUGGAGAAGAUGGGGUUAAGAAUGUAGCGGAUGAGUUGGGAAUAGAUAUACUAGUUGAUAUUCCUCUACAUCUAAACAUAAGACAGAUGUCAGAUGAUGGAACACCUAUUGUUGUGUCCGACCCUGAAAGUGACCAGGCCAAAGCAUAUAAGGAUCUGGCCAGAGAAGUGGUCAAGAGGCUACCAGAGUACACUGACCCUUUUCCGAAGAGGUGACAGUAACUCAGAAAAUUUAUUCAAGAUCACUGGAAAUUUGAAAUAGAAUCAUUUUAUAAGUUUUUCAGAAAAUUGAAAAAAAAAAUUACGUAAACCUUACCGAACAACACAACGAUGAAGAAAGAAUUGAUGGCCAUGUUAAUGACACUGAUAGCUAUGGGUUUUACAGAUAUGAGAAUAUAUAUGAGCUAUGUGCCACUUCCAGCGUGGCCAAUAAUGGCAAAUUACUUAAUUUGCUGCAUUUUUCAAAUCUUUGGUAAUGAUGAACAAGAUCGUAUCAUUAUGGAAGAAAGUAUUGACGAGAUUACGGAGAUGAUGAAGAAUCUCAAUACCUAAGAAGGGAACCAUAGAAACAAACAAGAUCUGUGUGGAUUUUAAUUAAUUUUAAAAAAAUCUAACUUUCAUAAAUGUUUUUAGGUUGGAUUGUAUGAAUCCUACUGAAACAAACGCAUAAAAGUUGGGUUCUAUUAAGUGAGACUUUUCAAUACCUUGUUUAGCAAACUUAUUUUCUUUAAAGAUAUCAGAUCAAGGCUGAAAAAAAGUUUUUGUGUUCACAUAUUUAGCAAAAUGGUUUUGCCCAAAGCCCCAAAUAAAAUACUGUACCAUUGUUGAAAGUACAAAAUGGGAUUUAGAAUUAUAGAUUAUAAAUUUUUAAAAACAUCCCUUUUUUGGUGGCAGUCGGUGUGCUAACUGACCAAAAAUAAAAUGGUAUCUUUAUUUUAAAUCACAUUCAUGAAAGAUGGUAUAAAAAGUCUCGUCUUGGUUACCUGUAAAUAGAUAUACAUAUUCUUUCAUUUUUAAAGUUUCAUUUGAAGUGGUGGUAGGAUUCAGGCAAGUAAUCAUUAUAUAAUAUAUAUACCUGUGUGUGUAUAUAUACUGUAUAUAUAUAUGAUUACUUUAAUAAUCCCACCAAAAAUGUACUUAUCAUGAAGUAAUUUACGUUAGUCAACAUAAUUAAAAUUAUCCUUUGCAAUCCUGUUAUUGGAUUCGCCGCUUUUUACUUUUGGAACUUUGAAUUGGAGUCAAUCGUUUUUUCUCGUUUGCAUUUAUUUGAACAUUAUUAUUUUAUAUUGGACAGUUUAAAUUCGCCUUAUUAUCCCUAUUUGUAAUCCCACUUUUUAUAAUAAAAAUUAAGUAAUAUUUAGGCUUA